CCGCAAAGGACUUCAAUCUUCUAACAAUUUGAGUUCUCGGGUAGAAAAGUCUUCCUGCAGCUUUGGUAACAUUUCACUGGUUCGAUCUUGCCUUCAAGUAACGCGCUGCGAAUAUCGCACGUGGAUGAGAUACCAAGACGCUAAUUUCGGUCUUAUAAGACCGAAUAAAUGACCAGAGGUUACUCCUGGCCCAGCGUCUCAUUUAAUCGUACUAUGGGCUGAAGAAGUGGCGACCCGAAAACAUGGAAGUUUCCAGAAGUAAUUACCGGAGGGUUUCUUACGGCCGUUACGGAACCUACUACGCCGUCGAGCAUUCAACUUAUGUUCUCUACCGACCCAUUUGAGUUUGAGUAGGUAGAGUCAAUCGCACGUCUGUUCAGGGAUC